GUUUCUGAAAAACCAAAACAUUGCUUCUGACUGCAUCUGUCCACCUACAAGAAGUGAUUUUUCCGGCUCCAUGGCGAGUGUCAGUGGCUGCAUCUGUUAGCCUGGCUACACAUCCCCAAAUCCAUGGUUGGAGCUAUCUCCGAUCUAAGAGUUAUAGUUUGGAGCUCGAAUUUCUUUUGGCAUGUCUCAUGGUAAUAUACACAGGUGUAUAUGCAGGCGAAUUCUUAGUCCAUACCUUGGAUGCUCGUUAAUAAAAUAUAUAUGGACAUGGUUUUAGUUUGCCAAUUGUUUUAGUUUUCUACUUUAUUACAACGUCUGUAAUUCUUAGUGCUAGAAGAAUUAGUGAGACUAUUAGAACUAAAUUCUUAAUAUUUAGCUGUUUUUCAUGUGAGAGAAAUAGCAUUCUGAAAAUAGCAGUGUUCUAAAGAAAAAGCUAGCAGCACUCGACGGUUUGCAGGCUCAUGCCUUGACGCCAUAUGUGCCUUGCCGACGAGUCCAUGAUUCUCAAGUGUUUCGUUCGGCGGCAACAAAGGAGACUGAUUUCAGUUUUAGUUAUCUCUGGAUGUUUAGGCUUAUGAAGUAAAUGAUUUUUCCAAUCGUUGGAUUGGGGAAUUGAGACGUAUUCCCUGGAAAGAGGCUUAUUUGUUGGUUGUACUGUGCUGGCUGUACUUCCCUGGAACGAAUCAGUUUAGGCUUAUUCUCUGAUUGUACUGUGAUGUCCUUUGGCUGCCCUGGAUGGGGUUUAACAGCAAAAAGGUCUGGGAAGAUAAGAAUUUGCUAAAUCCAAACAAGCUUGCGUCACAGGUGAUCAUUGUCACCAUCUACUCACGAUUGUGUUGCAUGGACUCUUUUUCUGCUUGGGAAAGAGCUCCUAAUUAGGAAUGGACAUUCCUUUUUACAAUACCCCUGGUUUCAUUGAUAGCUAUGCUUAACUUGGGAGAUAUAUGCUUUUCCUUAAGCAUAUUCUUUUUAGUCUUAAAUGUAUAUCAUAUUCUUUGUGAUAUAUAAUUUCCUAAUGAGUAGUCCUAUCGCUUGAAUGUUAUUUUACCUUCAAGUUCCACCCUCGGAGGGUCUCGAUUCAAUUUCGCCAGGUGGUGCGCUGAAUACUCCUGCUGAUUCUAAUGGUUUGUCUGGUUUAUGCUUUAGUUCUUACCGUUCGUGUUUUUUAAGGCUUUUUGGUGAUGCAUUGUUGUCUCUCGGAAUACAUGUUUUGGGAAAUAUGCGGCAAAACUUAUAUGAGCUGGAUUUCAAUGUUGUUGCCAUGAGGGAAACACAAUGGAGGUAUGUGUGCCAGCCAAUCGUACAGGUCAGUUCAAAGAACUUCUGGAGAAAGGCUAUGUGUGUACCAGUCAAUUGUACAGGAUACAUCUCGCAUGGGUGAGAUCAGAAGGUCUAGGUCAUUGUUUGGCAAUGUAUCCGUGGCUUACGCUGAAAACUUCCUCUCAUAAUGAUGGUUGCUGUGUGACCUUAUCAGUGGUUUAUGUUGGAAGCAAGCAUGUUUUUUGAUAACUUCUUAUACGCUGGUGACUGUUGGCUGAAGUUAUUCCAGUACGAGAAUUGAGCUAUACUUCAAGUGUAUCUCUGCUGUAAUCAUUAGCAUCAGACCCAUGCUAUGUACGGAAACUGUGUCAACAUCAUGUUAUUUCCAGGGAGGGUUGCAGAUGUACUGGCAGGUGUAACUCGCCAUUCUGGGAAGAAUUGGUGGGUUGUCUCCGCUCCUGAGACCCAACACUUCCGAGCGAGAAGAAGCUCAUCUGUUCCCGUCACUUGCUGAAAAUCUAACAUAAAACUGUUUGUUCUUUACUGCCACAAUACCAUCUGGAGCAGGCUGUUGCCUGAGUGGUGCUACUUCUUUGGGCUCAAACACGCAAGAGCCAUCUGGGCUUCUGCGAUUUUCU